GAGUAUGUAGCUCAGUGGAUAGAGCAUCAGAUUCCGAUUCUGAUGGUCACAGGUUCGAUUCCUGUCAUGCUCA
rnacentral:tRNA from 1 species